GAUCCAGGCAUUCCCUGGGCCUGGGGGAGCAGCGAGAACCUGUCUCUCCCUCUCAGGGUACUCUAGAGCCAGGACCCAGGACCCUGCCCCCAUGACCCAGCUCACAUAUCUACGAAUCCGUGAGGUUGUACUGAAGGCCUCCAUCCCUGGGAUUUGCUGGUAGAAGAAAGGGAAUCAGCGCUGACUGAGCUCCUACUAUGUGCCCUUCCUGGGCCUGGCACUGGAAUCACAGGAUGAAUGAAUAAGGCAUAUUUCCUGCCCUGAGGAGGCGUCUAUAGGGGAAGUCGGAAUUAAGGCACCUCCAGAAUUCUGAGGUCAAGGGAAUGUCAACAGAGCUGUGAACAAAAUGCCCAAAGCCAUGAAAAUCUACAGAGAGAGACUCGAAGGGGAGGAAUGGGGUAGGAGCUGGUGCCGAGGAUGAGAGGGGAGAAUUCACCUGGUGGAGAACUGAUAGGUGGGGGCUGUUUUCAAAGUAUUUUCACAAACGUUUAUUCUCUUGACUCUCACAAUAAACGAAGCCAGCCAGAAAGUAUUCUCCCCAUUUCAGUGAUAAGGAAAUGGAGGCUCAGAAGGGUGGAAUGGCCCAGGGCAGGGCAAAGCUGGGGUGGAAGCAUCGGUCUUGUGCUUCCACACUCAUUGCACUUUCUUCCAGGCCAGGCUGAGGUCGGGAUGGUGGAGGAGGUGGUGGAGGUGAUGAGGUACCAGAGCAACCUCGAAGAAAGCUGAGAGGCAGGAGACCGCCAAAGGCAAACUUGGAACACCUGGUGACUCCGACUAACUCUCCAUGUGGUGUCCUUGAGGACUUUUAUGAUACUGCUACCACUGCUAAUAGUAAUAAAAGCCACUAUUUAAUGUGUUUACUAUGCGCUGGGUGUGCAAAUAUUGUGGAAAGAGUGAACAUAUGUGCAGAAUGCUUAAUAAACGUGAUCUCCUUUUAUCUUCAAAAGAACAA
ensembl:lncRNA LINC01353 long intergenic non-protein coding RNA 1353